AACGAACGCUGGCGGCGUGCUUAACACAUGCAAGUCGAACGUGAUUGAGGAGCUUGCUCUUCAUGAAAGUGGCGCACGGGUGAGUAACACGUGGAUAAUCUGCCCAGUGAUUCGGGAUAACACUUCGAAAGGGGUGCUAAUACCGAAUAAGCCCACGAAGACUUAGGUCUUUGCGGGAAAAGGUGGGGACCUUCGGGCCUACCGUCACUAGAUGAGUCCGCGGCCCAUUAGCUAGUUGGUGGGGUAAUGGCCCACCAAGGCUACGAUGGGUAGCUGGUCUGAGAGGAUGAUCAGCCACACUGGAACUGGGACACGGUCCAGACUCCUACGGGAGGCAGCAGUGGGGAAUUUUGCGCAAUGGGCGAAAGCCUGACGCAGCAACGCCGCGUGAGUGAUGAAGGCCUUCGGGUCGUAAAGCUCUGUCAGGGGGGAAGAACCGCCAUGUGGCUAAUAUCCACGUGGUCUGACGGUACCCUCAAAGGAAGCACCGGCUAACUCCGUGCCAGCCGCCGCCGUAAAAC
rnacentral:rRNA from 1 species